rnacentral:rRNA from 1 species
CCUACGGGUGGCUGCAGUCGGGAAUUUUGGGCAAUGGGGGAAACCCUGACCCAGCAACGCCGCGUGAAGGAUGAAGUCUUUCGGUAUGUAAACUUCGAAAGAAUAGGAAGAAUUAAUGACGGUACUAUUUAUAAGGUCCGGCUAACUACGUGCCAGCAGCCGCGGUAAUACGUAGGGACCAAGCGUUGUUCGGAUUUACUGGGCGUAAAGGGCGCGUAGGCGGCAUGGCAAGUCACUUGUGAAAUCUCCGAGCUUAACUCGGAACGGCCAAGUGAUACUGCCGCGCUAGAGUGCGGAAGGGGCAAUCGGAAUUCGUGGUGUAGCGGUGAAAUGCUUAGAUAUCAAGAGGAACACCUGAGGUGAAGACGGGUUGCUGGGCCGACACUGACGCUGAGGCGCGAAAGCCAGGGGAGCAAACGGGAUUAGAUACCCCGGUAGUC